rnacentral:rRNA from 1 species
AUACAUCGCUGGCGACCGGCAAACGGGUGCGGAACACGUACGCAAUCUACCCAUAACUGAUGAAUAGCCCACCGAAAGGUGGAUUAAUACAUCGUAACAUAAUGAAGAGGCAUCUCUUUAUUAUUAUAGCUCCGGCGGUUAUGGAUGAGCGUGCGGCUGAUUAGGUAGUUGGCGGGGUAACGGCCCACCAAGCCUACGAUCAGUAACUGGUGUGAGAGCACGACCAGUCACACGGGCACUGAGACACGGGCCCGACUCCUACGGGAGGCAGCAGUAAGGAAUAUUGGUCAAUGGACGCAAGUCUGAACCAGCCAUGCCGCGUGAAGGAUGAAGGUCCUCUGGAUUGUAAACUUCUUUUGUGUGGGAAGAAAUCCUUGAAUUCUUUCAAGGUUGACGGUACCACAAGAAUAAGCACCGGCUAACUCCGUGCCAGCAGCCGCGGUAAUACGGAGGGUGCAAGCGUUAUCCG